rnacentral:tRNA from 1 species
UAAAAGUAUCUGGGAUUAAAUAUGAUUUCUAACCAUGUGACGAAUGGUUCGAUUCCUUUCACUUUUAA